GAUCAUCCACACAAAGCUUCUGAUCUGAUCGGCUCCUCACGAAUGCUAGUUCAUGGCUGAACUCCUUUGAUGGCCGAUGUUGAUCGAACUCCUUCGAUCUUGAUCUGUCGACUCCUCGGAUACUUCAGAUCAUUAGCAGAUGCACUUGAGAGGUUGAUGAUGCUCUCCCAAAAGUUUGGUGGGCUCACGACACUCGUAGCUCACAUUCUCACUUCCCGAACCCUAAGCCAAAACCCUAGGGUACACUCUGAAGAAACUUGCGCCCACUUGUUUCUUUCCUUUCUCUCCUUUUCUUUUCUUUUUCCAUGCAAGAAAGCUCUCUCAUGCCACCCUUCUCUCUCAG
rnacentral:lncRNA from 1 species